rnacentral:rRNA from 1 species
UACGAAGGGGGGCUAGCGUUGCUCGGAAUUACUGGGCGUAAAGGGCGCGUAGGCGGACUAUUAAGUCAGGUGUGAAAUCCCAGGGCUCAACCCUGGAAGUGCACUUGAUACUGCUAGUCUUGAAUGUGGUAGAGGCUAUUAGAAUUCCUGGUGUAGUGGUGAAAUACGUAGAUAUCAGGAGGAAUACCGGAGGCGAAGGCGGAUAGCUGGGCCAACAUUGACGCUGAGACCCGAAGCGUGGGGAUCAAACAGG